rnacentral:rRNA from 1 species
AUUGAACGCUGGCGGCAGGCCUAACACAUGCGAGUCGAGCGGAGCGGCGGACGGGUGAGUAAUGCCUAGGAAUCUGCCUGGUAGUGGGGGAUGACGUCCGGAAACGGGCGCUAAUACAGCAUCCUAUCAGAGGAGCCAGGGUCGGAUUAGCUAGUUGGUGGGGUAAAGGCCUACCAAGGCGACGAACCGUAACUGGUCUGAGAGGAUGAUCAGUCAAACGGGAACUGAGACACGGUCCAGACUCCUACGGGAGGCAGCAGUGGGGAAUAUUGGAAAAUGGGCGAAAGCCUGAUCCAGCCAUGCCGCGUGUGUGAAGAAGGUCUUCGGAUUGUAAAGUACUUUAAGUUGGGAGGCGUUACCUACAGAAGAAGCACCGGCUAACUUCGUGCCAGCAGCCGCGGUAAUUC